GACGAACGCUGGCGGCUUGCUUAACACAUGCAAGUCGAGCGGAAAGGCCACUUCGGUGGUACUCGAGCGGCGAACGGGUGAGUAACACGUGAGUAAUCUGCCCCUGGCUUUGGGAUAGCCACCGGAAACGGUGAUUAAUACCGAAUACGACAACUUCUUGCAUGAGAUGGUUGUGGAAAGUUUUUCGGCCAGGGAUGUGCUCGCGGCCUAUCAGCUUGAUGGUGAGGUAAUGGCUCACCAUGGCUUCGACGGGUAGCCGGCCCGAGAGGGUGACCGGCCACACUGGGACUGAGACACGGCCCAGACUCCUACGGGAGGCAGCAGUGGGGAAUAUUGGACAAUGGGCGGAAGCCUGAUCCAGCAACGCCGCGUGAGGGAUGACGGCCUUCGGGUUGUAAACCUCUUCCAGCAGGGACGAAGCGCAAGUGACGGUACCUGCAGAAGAAGCACCGGCCAACUACGUGCCAGCAGCCGCGGUAAUACGUAGGGUGCGAGCGUUGUCCGGAAUUAUUGGGCGUAAAGGGCUCGUAGGCGGUUUGUCGCGUCGGGAGUGAAAACUCAGGGCUUAACCCUGAGCCUGCUUCCGAUGCGGGCAAACUAGAGGAAUGCAGGGGAGAAUGGAAUUCCUGGUGGAGCGGUGGAAUGCGCAGAUAUCAGGAGGAACGCCCGUGGCGAAAGCGGGCUCCUGGACCCCACCUGACGCUGAGACGCGAAAGCCAGGGGAGCGAACGGGAUUAGAUACCCUGGUAGUCCACGCCGUAAACGAUGGGCACUAGGUGUGGGAGGUGUCGACUCCUCCCGUGCCGAAGCUAACGCAUUAAGUGCCCCGCCUGGGGAGUACGGCCGCAGGCUAAA
rnacentral:rRNA from 1 species